GCACCAACUGCCACCGAAAUGAGCGCCGGAGCGGCCUCAAGGGGAAGGGACAGGAGUAGAGGGAUGGAGGAGCAUAAAGUGUUUACAUGAAAGGUUCUGGCAAAUUGACCUACUUACAGUUCUUCACUCACAAUACUCCAGUUCCUACCUCAGUGACUUCAAAUACCCUUUUCUCCAUCCCUAGAUUCACUCUCAUCUCUGCCUCUUUAAGGAGAUAA
rnacentral:lncRNA from 1 species